AAAUUGAAGAGUUUGAUCAUGGCUCAGAUUGAACGCUGGCGGCAGGCCUAACACAUGCAAGUCGAACGGUAACAGGAAGCAGCUUGCUGCUUCGCUGACGAGUGGCGGACGGGUGAGUAAUGUCUGGGAAACUGCCUGAUGGAGGGGGAUAACUACUGGAAACGGUGGCUAAUACCGCAUAACGUCGCAAGACCAAAGAGGGGGACCUUUGGGCCU
rnacentral:rRNA from 3 species